rnacentral:rRNA from 1 species
GACGAACGCUGGCGGCGUGCCUAAUACAUGCAAGUCGAACGCAGUGGGGACGGGUGAGUAACACGUGGGUAACCUCCCAUCAGAGGGGAUAACACUUGGCAACAGGUGCUAAACCGAUACUGAUUGAUGGACCCGCGGUGCAUUAGCUAGUGGGUGCGGUAACGGCUCACCAAGGCCACGAUGCAUAGCGGACCUGAGAGGGUGAGCAGCCAAACUGGUACUGAGACACGGCCCAGACUCCUACGGGAGGCAGCAGUGGGGAAUCUUCGGCAAUGGACGAAAGGCUGACAGAGCAACGCCGCGUGAGUGAAGAAGGUUUUCGGAUCGUAAAACACUGUUGUUAGAGAAGCGGUAUCUAACCAGAAAGCCACGGCUAACUACGUGCCAGCAGCCGCGGUAAUUC